rnacentral:lncRNA from 1 species
GGCUGAAUCAUCUUCAACUCUACAGUGAAGUAGAAGAGACAGGGAUAUCCCAGAAGGUUAUGCAAAACAUCAAGAGAAGAUGAGAGGAGUCUAUAUGUCAGAAUACACAUUUCCCACCUUGCCCAACAGUAGAAAAACAUAAGAAGAGAAAAACAUUAAAAAAUGACAAGGAAGUUAAUGGAAGUCAGCAAUGUGAUGGUGUUUGGAGGUGGAGCCUUCAGAAGGUAAUUAAUGCCCUUGUAAGAAGAGGCCAGAGAGCUUGCGCACCUUCUUCCUGCCAUGUGAGGAGCCAAGAAGCCGGCUGUCUGCAACCUGCAAGAGGACCCUCACUAGAAGCUAGCCAUACUGGCAUCCUCAUCUUGGCUUUCCAACUUCCAGAACUGUGAGAAGUAUAUGUUUGUGGUUUAGUCAAUGGUCUAUGGUAAUUUUUUUAUAGCAGUCCCAGCCAAGACAGUGCCUCAUUUACUACAUACCAUUUAUAUUAUUAUAUAGGCUCCUUUCAGAAACCCAUGUUCAAAUAAGAGAUAAGAUACUGAAACACAUAACACCUUCACUAGUUUUUAGUAUACAAAUAUUGAGAAAUAGUUUGUUAUUAACUAUCUCAUCCAAGAAAUGCAGAUUCAUGUUGUUUCUAAUUUUUUAUAUAUAAUUGACAAAAUGAAGAAACUUAACACCAUCCU